UCGGUUUAGCGGUCCCGAAACCACUUCCCGACUAGGGUCAAUUUUGGGCUGUCAUAACUCUCUCCCACUUAAGAAAUUUUUGUCCCCGAAAAUUUCUACCGAUGCAUAGUUUAGGAUAACGUCCUCUUAUUGAAUUAUAUCCAUAUAAACAUUAGCUCAUCGAUAGCAAUUGUAAUUCAUUACUGAUUUCGAAUCGAUCCAUAAAAUCAUUUUCUUAUCCUAAGACAAAUACAUAAACAUUUCUACAAGUAUGCACAUAUAUCUCAUUUUCUUGAUUUCAUAAGCAAUAAUCACUUAAUUUAAUUCACAAAUGCAUUUCAAACACAUAUUAAGCACAUAUUAACAUGUAUAAUUCACAUCAUCAACCCACAUAUUUGUAACCCACAUUUU
rnacentral:lncRNA from 1 species